rnacentral:rRNA from 1 species
UGGGGAAUAUUGCACAAUGGGCGCAAGCCUGAUGCAGCCAUGCCGCGUGUGUGAAGAAGGCCUUCGGGUUGUAAAGCACUUUCAGCGAGGAGGAAGGUGGUGAGCUUAAUACGCUCAUCAAUUGACGUUACUCGCAGAAGAAGCACCGGCUAACUCCGUGCCAGCAGCCGCGGUAAUACGGAGGGUGCAAGCGUUAAUCGGAAUUACUGGGCGUAAAGCGCACGCAGGCGGUUUGUUAAGUCAGAUGUGAAAUCCCCGGGCUCAACCUGGGAACUGCAUUUGAAACUGGCAAGCUAGAGUCUCGUAGAGGGGGGUAGAAUUCCAGGUGUAGCGGUGAAAUGCGUAGAGAUCUGGAGGAAUACCGGUGGCGAAGGCGGCCCCCUGGACGAAGACUGACGCUCAGGUGCGAAAGCGUGGGGCAGCAAACAGGAUUAGAUACCCUGGUAGUCCACGCUGUAAAACGAUGUCGAUUUGGAGGUUGUGCCCUUGAGGCGUGGCUUCCGGAGCUAACGCGUUAAAUCGACCGCCUGGGGAGUACGGCCGCAAGGUUAAAACUCAAAUGAAUUG